GAAAUGUUGAGGCGGUAACAGAAACACCUUAUUUUUAUUAUUCAUAUAUAAUCCUGGAAAUAUACGGGCAUCAAUUAUAUUUCUUAGAAAUUCUUUGCAGACAAGCCCAAAGUUCCUUAGGUUUAGACAUCAUGGACAUGUGAUCGGAUCCUAGUAUCUCUUUCACUUCAUUGGGUGGAUUUUUUUGGAUCAUCCAUUGUUGAAAAUCUUUCUCCAAGGUCAAAUCUUUCUCUGCAAUGAUAAAAACUCUUUUAACCGA